UUUGCCUACGGGAGGCAGCAGUGGGGGAUAUUGGACAAUGGGGGAAACCCUGAUCCAGCGACGCCGCGUGAGUGAAGAAGGUCUUCGGAUUGUAAAGCUCUUUGAUCAGGGACGAACAGAUGACGGUACCUGAAGAACAAGCCCCGGCUAACUACGUGCCAGCAGCCGCGGUAAAACGUAGGGGGCGAGCGUUGUCCGGAAUGACUGGGCGUAAAGGGUGCGUAGGCGGCAUAAUAAGUUAGAAGUGAAAUACCCAGAGCUUAACUCGGGUGCUGCUUCUAAGACUGUUGAGCUUGAGUGCGGGG
rnacentral:rRNA from 1 species